CUUGCAAGGUUCACAGCUUAAAGGAAGUGGUAAGAGCCAUCUGGUGUUAUUUUUGCCUUGUUGUUUCAUCAAGAACUAUGCCUGUUACCAAAUGCCCAGAGCCGAGGAGUUAGCCACUGUCGAGAGAGAGCGGCAACCGUGAGUGUGGUUCCGAAUCCUCAAGGACUCGCUGGCGAUGGCUGACUCAGCAGAGCGCCGGAGAGCGCCGGGGGCUGUCCCAGGAUGCAGAUUUCCCCUUGCCUGUGCUGACGGGGCAUAAGAUGUCUUCACACUGGACUCUGUCUUCAACCUCUGGAAGUACUUCCCACCCGGGUCCUGUAGCAGCCCUCCUGCUCCUGGUGCAGCUAGAGCCGGAAUUCCAGGGCCAUAAGACUGCGCUUCGUGGAAGGAAAAGCUGACGCUGCCGUUUUUCUUUGUAUGGUGGCAUUUCGGCUGCUUGGGAAAGCAGACUUCUCAAGGCUGGCUCAGGCUCGGUUGCCACAAAUCCCUUCCUUCACUGGGGAGGCUUGUGUGCUGGAGCAACUCCGGGGAAAAGACACACUCAAUGUUUGCUGUGUUUUCUCUUUUGGUGAAAGACGUGGGAAUUUACAAGAGAGAAGCUACUUAUUAGAGCGGAAAGGGCCGAGUGAGCCCAAGGACAGCUGGAGAGCUCCCGGGGACGGGAGAAGGGGGAGGGGAAAGACUAAAAUGACGCCUUAAAUAUGGAGGAGACAGGCGAGGGGAUUAGGGGUCAUCCACGGGGUAAAGGUUAACAUUCCUACGUGGAAGUUGAGAUUGUCCACCUCUCUGAGGUGGACGAGGAGGAGCAAACACGGCUGGGCAAGGAACAUUUGCACAAUACUCUCGUCUCCACAAGGAGACCAUCAGAAAUGUGGGAAGAAAAGUGGCGGCUGCGUAGAGUCCCCGUAUUCUGAUGAUCACUUGCCCACUGUUGUUUCCAUCUGUUUCCUGGUCCUCCCAUCUUUGCUGGAGGCCAUAGUAAACAAACUGACUGGCCUAAGCCAACUUAAAGGAUAAGAUCAUCAACCUGGGUAUCAGAAGUCUCCAGGGGCUAAAAUGAACGGCCAGAUCCUCAGCCCAGCGGGAGAACUCAGAAGUCUGCACAGUUGGACAAGAUGCAGAAAAGAAAGAUACCUUCCUUCUGGCUCAUAAAGGGCCACUAUUAGAAAUAUUUCUAUAUGUAAGGUUCACAGACAAUCCACAGGCUUCUGGUACUACAGUUCCCUAGGAGUCAUUUAUAAAACAUCUGUGCUUUGCCUACA